GCCUAAAGCGUCCGUAGCCUGUUCUAUAAGUUUCCGGUUAAAUCCAUUAGCUCAACUAAUGGGCUGCCGAAAAUACUGUAGAACUAGGGAGUGGGAGAGGUAGACGGUAUUCGGUAGGAAGGGGUAAAAUCCUUUGAUCUAUUGAGGACCACCUGUGGCGAAGGCGGUCUACCAGAACACGUUCGACGGUGAGGGAUGAAAGCUGGGGGAGCAAACCGGAUUAGAUACCCGGGUAGUCCCAGCCGUAAACGAUGCAGACUCGGUGAUGCGCUGGCUUGUGGCCAGUGCAGUGCCGCAGGGAAGCCGUUAAGUUUGCCGCCUGGGAAGUACGUACGCAAGUAUGAAACUUAAAGGAAUUGGCGGGGGAGCACCACAAGGGGUGAAGCCUGCGGUUCAAUUGGAGUCAACGCCAGAAAUCUUACCCGAAGAGACAGCAGAAUGAAGGUCAAGCUGGAGACUUUACCAGACAAGCUGAGAAGUGGUGCAUGGCCGUCGCCAGCUCGUGCCGUGAGGUGUCCUGUUAAGUCAGGUAACGAGCGAGAUCCCUACCUCUAGUUGCCACCAUUACUCUCAGGAGUAGUGGGGCGAAUUAGCGGGACUGCCGCAGUUAAUGCGGAGGAAGGAGGGGGCCACGGCAGGUCAGUAUGCCCCGAA
rnacentral:rRNA from 1 species